rnacentral:lncRNA from 1 species
UUAAUUAUGAUAACCAAGAAUCCGUAGAAAUUGACUUUCGAUACUCAAAAUUGCUAAUUCAUUUAAUCUUUCUUGAGUUUGAGUUAGCUAUCUGUAACCACAAAAUAAACAAAAACAACGAUCAGUUUAAGAACCAAUACAUUUCUAUCAGAUUUUCAAAUACAUUUCUAGAAAUUAAACUAAUAAAAUAAAACAUCAGAUUUUUAUAAACAUUAGUUUAUUCAGAAAACAACAUAUGAAAUAUUUUGAAAUAAAAAACAUACAUUUUAAUAAAUACCAUUUAAUUUAUAAACAUUACAAAAAAACAACUUAAAAAAGAAUAAAUGCAAAACGAUGAUAUAAUUCCAUAAGUUGAGGUUAACGAAUUUACAGGAUGAGGCAGUAAGAACAAUAAAUGACCAAAACUAAUAUGCAAGAAUAGUAGAAAAGUAAGUUUCAUUAGACUCACUAUUUAUAUAUGUUCUGAAUAAAAAUGCAAUUCAAAGUUAUAGUUUGUAAGUUUAUUCCAGUUUCGACGCAUGAGAAAGCAUGGCUAAAUACUUAUAGUCUUUGACUUUUUGAUAAACAAAAGCAUUCAAUUUCAUAAACAUAAAACAAACCCAUAAAUACAGAUUUCGAUAAAAUAACUAGAAACUCAAAAAUAUAAUUCAAAAGUGAUAACUCAGAAUUUACAGGGGAAUGUAAGAGAAAUCUUGAGCAAACCUUUGAAUGUUGUGCACAAUAGGCAGCUCUUUAAAAAUACAAAGAUAAGUAGUCAACUGAAGCAAGAAUUGAUGAGGAGUUGGGGAUUAAUGGACUAUAUGAAAAGGUUAUCGGAUUUUCACGAGAACAAGAGAUUAAGAGGGCAUAUUAACAAUGAAAUUAUGAGGAUUUAAAUCUUUAUAGGCUGAGAAUAAGAGAAGAAAGAGAACCGUAUGUUUUAUCUAUUGAGAUCAACAGGUACGCCCGUAUUUAUUGGAAUCGUCUUCUCCAGAACCCCAUUGAUAAGAAUGUCUUGUCUUCUUCAACUGUAAUUAUUAGGCGUGCUAUAUUGCUUAGGAUAACGAAGAGUCAUGCAUUCUAAAUUUAUUUCAAAUUGCC